rnacentral:rRNA from 1 species
UACGUAGGGUGCAAGCGUUGUCCGGAAUUAUUGGGCGUAAAGAGCUCGUAGGCGGUUCGUCACGUCGGCUGUGAAAUCCCGAGGCUCAACCUCGGGUCUGCAGUCGAUACGGGCGGACUGGAGUACUGCAGGGGAGACUGGAAUUCCUGGUGUAGCGGUGAAAUGCGCAGAUAUCAGGAAGAACACCGGUGGCGAAGGCGGUGGUCUGGGCUGUUACUGACGCUGAGGAGCGAAAGCCAGGGGAGCAAACGGG